GACGAACGCUGGCGGCGUGCUUAACACAUGCAAGUCGAACGGAAAGGCCCCGCUUUUGUGGGGUGCUCGAGUGGCGAACGGGUGAGUAACACGUGAGUAACCUGCCCUUGACUUUGGGAUAACUUCAGGAAACUGGGGCUAAUACCGGAUAGGAGCUCCUGCUGCAUGGUGGGGGUUGGAAAGUUUCGGCGGUUGGGGAUGGACUCGCGGCUUAUCAGCUUGUUGGUGGGGUAGUGGCUUACCAAGGCUUUGACGGGUAGCCGGCCUGAGAGGGUGACCGGCCACAUUGGGACUGAGAUACGGCCCAGACUCCUACGGGAGGCAGCAGUGGGGAAUAUUGCACAAUGGGCGGAAGCCUGAUGCAGCAACGCCGCGUGCGGGAUGAAGGCCUUCGGGUUGUAAACCGCUUUCGCCUGUGACGAAGCGUGAGUGACGGUAAUGGGUAAAGAAGCACCGGCUAACUACGUG
rnacentral:rRNA from 1 species